rnacentral:rRNA from 1 species
UACGUAGGGUGCAAGCGUUGUCCGGAAUUAUUGGGCGUAAAGAGCUCGUAGGCGGCUUGUCGCGUCUGCCGUGAAAACCCAGGGCUCAACUCUGGGCGUGCGGUGGGUACGGGCAGGCUAGAGUGCGGUAGGGGAGAUUGGAAUUCUUGGUGUAGCGGUGAAAUGCGUAGAUAUCAAGAGGAACACCUGCGGCGAAGGCGGGUUGCUGGGCCGACACUGACGCUGAAGCGCGAAAGCUAGGGGAGCGAACGGG